rnacentral:lncRNA from 1 species
CUUGUUGUAUCUUUACUUGAAGUAUUCGAUAGAAUGCUUAUUCUUUUCGUUGUUAUCAUUGGUUUCCACCACAUUAGCAUUUGCUUGUGGUAUAUGACUUCCAUUUCACUUAUCUGACUUUUUGUUGUCUUUUUCAAUUCUCAAUCGAAUGAUGAGUACUUCAAUAUUUAUCUCCUUGCACUUGUGCUUGAAACAAUUUAUAAAGUCUUUUCACAUGAGUGGAAGUUUCUUGAUGAUUGUAGCUACUCGAAAGGAUUCACUUGGAGAUAUGUUCUUAACGUGAUUGCCAUGGAGAAGAACCUACAACUCUUGUACUUGACUAAUAACUGUCUUGGAAUCUAUCAUCUUGUAAUCUAAGAACUUUCGAAGAUGAACUUCUUUGUUUCGACA